UACGUAGGUGGCAAGCGUUGUCCGGAUUUACUGGGCGUAAAGAGCGCGCAGGCGGUCGUUCAAGUCGCGUGUGAAAGCCCCCGGCUCAACUGGGGAGGGUCACGCGAUACUGAUCGACUCGAAGGCAGGAGAGGGAAGUGGAAUUCCCGGUGUAGUGGUGGAAUGCGUAGAGAUCCGGAGGAACACCAGCGGCGAAGGCGGCAUCCUGGACUGGUCCUGACACUCAGGAGCGAAAGCGUGGGGAGCGAUCCGG
rnacentral:rRNA from 1 species